UACGGAGGGCUCAAGCGUUGUUCGGAUUCAUUGGGCGUAAAGGGUGCGCAGGCGGCUAGGCAAGUCGGACGUGAAAUCUCGGGGCUUAACCCCGAAACUGCGUUCGAUACUGCCUUGCUUGAGGACUGGAGAGGAGACUGGAAUUCCUGGUGUAGCAGUGAAAUGCGUAGAUAUCAGGAGGAACGCCAAUGGCGAAGGCAAGUCUCUGGACAGUUCCUGACGCUCAUGCACGAAGGCCAGGGGAGCAAACGGG
rnacentral:rRNA from 1 species